GCCUUCGUGGUGUAGCGGUGAGGAACUCUACGCGUAACUGAGAGGUCCGUGGUUCGAUUCCCGGCGAAGGCG
rnacentral:tRNA from 1 species